CACGUAGGGGGCAAGCGUUGUCCGGAUUUAUUGGGCGUAAAGAGCUCGUAGGCGGCUUAGUAAGUCGGGUGUGAGACCUCCAGGCUCAACCUGGAGACGCCACCCGAUACUGCUGUGGCUUGAGUCCGGUAGGGGAGCGUGGAAUUCCUGGUGUAGCGGUGAAAUGCGCAGAUAUCAGGAGGAACACCAGCGGCGAAGGCGGCGCUCUGGGCCGGAACUGACGCUGAGGAGCGAAAGCGUGGGUAGCAAACAGG
rnacentral:rRNA from 1 species